rnacentral:lncRNA from 1 species
AAUAAGAAAGGUUGGUUACGAUAGAGGGGUAUAUUGGAAAAGACAAAAAGUUGAAAUACUUUUUGUGCCCCUGACUUUAAGGGCAAAUAAGAAAGACAAUGAUGGUGGAAGGGUAUAUCUAAAAAGGGCAAAAGAGUAAUUUUACAGAGAUAACAGUGUUACUUAACAGAUUUUAACUCUAAGGGUAUAUUAGAAAUAGGUUGGAACGUAGGAGGGGUAUUUUCAAUAUUAGCCUUCUAAGAGGGGUAAAUCGAAAAGUCGGAAACUUUUCAGGGGUAUAUAAGAAAUUGCCCCUUUUUUUAUGCAUAAUAUUUCUUUAGGAAGCGACCGUUGAUAGGUGGCAUUGGUCUUUCACCUUUG